UACGAAGGGGGGCUAGCGUUGCUCGGAAUCACUGGGCGUAAAGGGCGCGUAGGCGGCGUUUUAAGUCGGGGGUGAAAGCCUGUGGCUCAACCACAGAAUGGCCUCGAUACUGGGACGCUUGAGUAUGGUAGAGGUUGGUGGAACUGCGAGUGUAGAGGUGAAAAUUCGUAGAUAUUCGCAAGAACACCGGUGGCGAAGGCGGCCAACUGGACCAUUACUGACGCUGAGGCGCGAAAAGCGUGGGGGAG
rnacentral:rRNA from 1 species